CCAAGAAUGCCCAAAGGGAAUGCAGUAGCUUUGGGGUAAGUGUCCAUUUCUCCACAGCACUGGGGCAGCUCUACUGAGCUACAGAGCUAGAAUUCCCAGGGGAAAGCUGGGUUCCCCUGACGUCCACACUGAUGUCGAAGGAAACAGUGGGUUGGCCUCCAGGCAUGUCCAGUAGUGGACUGUAGGUUUUCCUGGGAUGUUCUCUGAGAGAUUCAGAGAAGAAGAAAGAAAGAAGGAAAGAGCAAAAGGCUGGACAAGAGAUACUGUAAAGACUGGAGAUGAGAAAGCCAAGGUGUGGAUUCAGAAUUGUGUUUCAACAUGAAAUCAAAGAUGGAGUUUUGCUCUUGUUGCCCAGGCUGGAGUGCAAUGGCACAAUCUUGGCUCACCGCAACCUCUGCCUCCCAGGUUCAAGCGAUUCUCCUGCCAGCACCUCCCAAGCUACAACUAAUUCCAAGAUUAGGACUAGCAAUAUAGACCUAUGCUCUGAAUUUUCUUAAAAAUAUUGGUGAGGGGUGAUGGGAGAGCAACCCUAUAUUCCGCCAUCAUUCUGUGAACAGCAUUGCUUUUCUUUCAAGUUUGAUUUUUAUAGUAAUUUAAUCACCAUAAUUGGUGGGCAAACAAGAGGUGAUUUAUGUAAUUCUUGUGGGUCCAAAGCCAAACAGAUGUGGUUUUCUGUUCUCCUAAAGUAAUUUUCCACAUUGGUCUUUAAAGGUGGUGUUUUAGUGGUUGUUUUCCAUGCUGGAGAGAGGGCUGGCUCUCCAUGGAAGGUGAAAGCGGGCGUGCACAAGCUCCUGAGCAGGACGUUCAUGGCCUUGCCUGCCUCUUUUGGCCCCAGCACAUCACACCCUAAAUCCUCCUUUCUGGGACUUUGGAAGAGGCAUGAAAACUUUUUGGCUUUCAGCUUCCCCACAUACAAAAUGAAGGGAUUGGAUUCAAAAUCUAAUAUCUCCUCCAGCUCUAAAUCCUAUGAAUUCAUCAUAUUAAAAUCCUGCAAUUUAGAUAAUUAUGUUCCAUGUAGUUUGAUUUCCAAACAGUAAACAUGACAAAAACACAUUAAAGUCCAU
rnacentral:lncRNA from 10 species